CUCUUUUACACAACAUUAUUAAAUAAGCGAAGAUGAUGUCGAAAGUUAUAAUUUUACUUAUAAAUUGACUUUUCGUGAUGGAGAAAGAUAGUUAAUAGUGUCCAAUGUUGCGAAAUUAUAUUUCACAAACCUUGGAUGCUAAGCUAAUGCAUAGGGUACACCAAGGUCACGUAAAUAUAUUUUGCACUUGAAACUAUAAUAAUCAAGGAAUUAUUAAAGCGCGACAUAAUGACGAAACGGGAGCAUGAGAAAACGUGCAUUUUAUACAAUAGCAAUGAGACUUUUAGAGUGAGUAAAUCACAUUAAUAUCGACUAUUAAAACCUGUCACUUCCGUCAUUUGAUGCACUCAAGUAAUCCAUUUUUUUUAAGGCAAUGACACGACAAUCGGCGGGAUUUGUUGGCAAUCGCGGUGCGCUGCAAAGCUGAUAAGUAAAACGUAGCAUUCCUACCAGGUCAGUCUACACGGACAGUUCGUUUGGGAGAGCCACCGUUAUUAAGUAUCUUCUACUUUCAUAUAGCCACGAUACCACCUACUUACACUUGUCGCUCAAAUUUAUUCCGUAUGUUUAUCUCUUGACGGGUACUAAUGAAAUAAAAAGCGGUACAGACGAAUACAAACGAAAUAGUACUCGCUGUCGGAUUUGAAAUAGCUUCAAUAAUGUCAAAAUUACUUACAACCCAAAUUUUUAAUAUUUUGUAUUUCUAUCCUCCUAAAGAUGGAUGUUAUCAACGACUUAGGAAAUAAUCGAAAUAAUAGUUUUUUGAAAUUUAAUAUACAUACAUUCUUUAUUAUGUAUGUCUAAUUAUAUUUUCCUAUCCUAUCCUCUAUUACUAGUAUACUAAAAUUUAAAUUAAAUAAUUUUACAAAUGUACUACAAAUU